rnacentral:rRNA from 1 species
CCCUUAGAUGUUCUGGGCCGCACACGCGCUACACUGAAGGAGGCAGCGUGUACUCCUGGAUCGAAAGAUUUGGGUAACCCGCGAAUCUCCUUCGUGCUAGGGAUUGAGGUUUGCAAUUAUCCUUCAUGAACGAGGAAUUCCCAGUAAGUGCAAGUCAUAAGCUUGCGCUGACUACGUCCCUGCCCUUUGUACACACCGCCCGUCGCUACUACCGAUUGAAUGGCUUAGUGAGUUGUUCGGAUUGUGUUUGUCUGUUGGGUUUCCUUCAGGCAUUCUGCGAGAAGAACUGCAAACUUGGUCAUUUAGAGGAAGUAAAAGUCGUAACA